CGGGAGGCUGAGGCAGGAGAAUCGCUUGAACCUGGGAGGCUGAGGUUGUGGUGAGCUGAGGUCGUGCCAUUGCACUCCAGCCUGGGCAACAAGAGCGAAACUCCGUCUCAAAAAAAAAAAAAAAAACCCCACACAUCAUGUUCCUCUCUCAGAGCAUCUUGACAGGAGGGAGCCAUCUCUGUGGGACCCGCCUCUGCCAUGAAAUUGCCCAUGCCUGGUUUGGCUUAGCCAUCGGGGCCCGAGACUGGACGGAGGAGUGGCUGAGUGAAGGCUUCGCCACUCAUUUGGAGGAUGUGUUUUGGGCCACAGCACAGCAGCUGGCCCCCCAUGAGGCCUGGGAGCAGCAGGAGCUGAGGGCUUGUCUGCGUUGGCGUCGCCUCCAGGACGAGAUGCAAUGCUCCCCCGAGGAGAUGCAGGUGUUAAGCUCUUAAGAACUUCCAGUCCUCUGGAAUCUGCUUUCUGCUCUCACCAGUAUAGGAAAACUGUUUUUUCCUUGGCUCAUUGUGCCCUGACAGUCACCAGAUUAUGGAAGCAAAUUUUAGUUUUAAUCUUAUGAGACUCCUCUGCUUUGUUUGGUACUGUUGACAGCUCUUCUGGAAGUUUCUGUCACUGGCUUUUGUGGCAGUCCCUCGCCUGAUUCUUCUUGCCCUCUGUCAUUCCUCCUCCAUCUCCUUCGGGGUCUGCCCUUUGCCUCCCUGUAUCUUCAGAGCUGGUCUUCCUCGGGGCCUCCACACUUGGCUGCGUGUCCUCCCAGAGUGGUCUCAUCUAAACCCCCAUCUUAGGUGGGAGUCUCCAGGUGCAGACCCUGAUGCAAGGUGUAUGGGAAAGAGAUUUAUUAGGAAUUGUUCUGAUAUGGGUUGGCUGUGUGUCCCCACCCAAAUCUCAUGUUGAAUUGUAAUCCCCAGUGUUGGAGGUGGGGCCUGGCGGGAGGUGACUGGAUCACAGAGGUGGUUUGUCAUGGUUUAACACCAUCCCCCCUUGGUGCUGUGGUCACAAUAGUGAGUGAGUUCUCAUGAGCUCUGGUUAUUUAAAAGUGUGUGGCACCUUCCUCCACCAACUGUCUCCCUCCUGCCCCAGCCAUGUAAGACGUCCUGCUUCCGCUUUGCCUGCUGCCAUAAUUGUAAGUUUCCUGAGGCCUCCCCAGGAGCUGAGCAGAUGACAGCAUCAUGCUUCCUGUACAACCUGCGGAACCGUGAGCCAAUUAAACCUCUUUUCUUUAUAAAUUA
rnacentral:sRNA from 1 species